rnacentral:rRNA from 1 species
CACGAACUGUGCAAACGUUAUUCGGAAUCACUGGGCUUAAAGAGUUCGUAGGCGGCGCGCUAAGUCGGGUGUGAAAGCCCUCGGCUCAACCGAGGAAUUGCGCCCGAUACUGGCGUGCUUGAGUGAGAUAGAGGUGAGCGGAACUGAUGGUGGAGCGGUGAAAUGCGUUGAUAUCAUCAGGAACACCGGUGGCGAAAGCGGCUCACUGGGUCUCAACUGACGCUGAGGAACGAAAGCUAGGGUAGCGAACGGG